GCCGAUUUAGCUCAGCUGGUAGAGCACCCGCCUUGUAAGCGGAAGGUCGUCAGUUCGAAACCGACAAUCGGCACCA
rnacentral:tRNA from 1 species